GAUGAACGCUAGCGGCAGGCUUAACACAUGCAAGUCGAGGGGCAGCGUGGAGCAGCAAUGCUCUGACGGCGACCGGCGGAAGGGUGCGUAACACGUGAGCGACUUGCGCGUCACAGGGGGAUAACCGGCGGAAACGGCGACUAAUACCCCAUACGAUGUGAUGCUGCAUGGCAUUGCAUUGAAAGAUUCAUCGGUGGCGGAUAGGCUCGCGGGACAUUAGCUAGACGGCGGGGCAACGGCCCACCGUGGCGACGAUGUCUAGGGGUUCUGAGAGGAAGGCCCCCCCACACUGGGACUGAGACACGGCCCAGACUCCUACGGGAGGCAGCAGUGAGGAAUAUUGGUCAAUGGGCGGAAGCCUGAACCAGCCAUGCCGCGUGAAGGCUAAGGCCCUACGGGUCGUAAACUUCUUUAGACGCAGAGCAAUAAGGUCCACGCGUGACCGAUGAGAGUAUGCGUAGAAUAAGCAUCGGCUAAC
rnacentral:rRNA from 1 species